GACCGGCGCACGGGUGAGUAACGCGUAUGCAACCUACCCAUAACUCAGGGAUAGCCCGUUGAAAGACGGAUUAAUACCUGAUGACACAGGGGCACCACAUGGUGAUAUUUGUUAAAGAUUAAUGGUUAUGGAUGGGCAUGCGUUCCAUUAGCUAGUUGGUAGAGGUAACGGCUCACCAAGGCAACGAUGGAUAGGGGAACUGAGAGGUUUAUCCCCCACACUGGUACUGAGACACGGACCAG
rnacentral:rRNA from 1 species